rnacentral:rRNA from 1 species
AUUGAACGCUGGCGGCGUGCUUAACACAUGCAAGUCAAUCGGUAACAGGUGUAGCAAUACAUGCUGACGAGAGGCGGACGGGUGAGUAAUGCUUGGGAAUCUGCCUAUUAGUGGGGGACAACCCGGGGAAACUCGGGCUAAUACCGCAUACGCUCUACGGAGGAAAGCCGGGGACCGCAAGGCCUGGCGCUAAUAGAUGAGCCCAAGUCGGAUUAGCUAGUUGGUAGGUAACGGCCUACCAAGGCGACAAUCCGUAGCUGGUCUGAGAGGACGACCAGCCACACCGGAACUGAGACACGGUCCGGACUCCUACGGGAGGCAGCAGUGGGGAAUAUUGGACAAUGGGGGCAACCCUGAUCCAGCGACGCCGCGUGGGUGAAGAAGGCCUGC